rnacentral:tRNA from 1 species
CCGAUGUAGCACAGUUGGUAGUGCAACGCACUCGUAACGCGUAGGUCGUAGGUUCAAGUCCUAUCGUCGGC